rnacentral:tRNA from 1 species
AGCUCUGAGAAGCUAAUAAGCGUUGGUCUUGUAAACCAAAGAUAAGAAAACCCUCUCCAGAGUUA